rnacentral:rRNA from 1 species
CACGCCGUAAACUAUGGAUGCUAGCUGUUAGGAGUAUCGACCCUUCUAGUAGCGAAGCUAACGCGUUAAGCAUCCCGCCUGUGGAGUACGAGCGCAAGCUUAAAACAUAAAGGAAUUGACGGGGACCCGCACAAGCGGUGGAGCGUGUUCUUUAAUUCGAUGGUAAGCGAAGAACCUUACCAGGGUUUGACAUCCUACUAAUCUUGCCGAAAGGCGAGAGUGUCUUCGGACCGUAGUGACAGGUGA